GAUGAACGCUGGCGGCGUGCCUAAUACAUGCAAGUCGAGCGAACGGACGAGAAGCUUGCUUCUCUGAUGUUAGCGGCGGACGGGUGAGUAACACGUGGAUAACCUACCUAUAAGGCUGGGAUAACUUCGGGAAACCGGAGCUAAUACCGGAUGAUAUUUUGAACCGCAUGGUUCAAAAGUGAAAGACGGUCUUGCUGUCACUUAUAGAUGGAUCCGCGCUGCAUUAGCUAGUUGGUAAGGUAACGGCUUACCAAGGCAACGAUGCAUAGCCGACCUGAGAGGGUGAUCGGCCACACUGGAACUGAGACACGGUCCAGACUCCUACGGGAGGCAGCAGUAGGGAAUCUUCCGCAAUGGGCGAAAGCCUGACGGAGCAACGCCGCGUGAGUGAUGAAGGUCUUCGGAUCGUAAAACUCUGUUAUUAGGGAAGAACAUAUGUGUAAGUAACUGUGCACAUCUUGACGGUACCUAAUCAGAAAGCCACGGCUAACUACAUG
rnacentral:rRNA from 1 species